rnacentral:rRNA from 1 species
AUUGAACGCUAGCGGGAUGCCUUACACAUGCAAGUCGAACGGAGUGGCGAACGGGUGAGUAAUGUAUCGGAACGUGCCCAGUAGCGGGGAUUACUUCCCGAAAGGGUAGCCAAUACCGCAUACCAUUUGAUCCGCCGAUAUCGGAUUUGCGAGUUGGUGGGGUAAAGGCUCACCAAGGCGACGAUCCGUAGCUGGUUUGAGAGGACGACCAGCCACACUGGGACUGAGACACGGCCCAGACUCCUACGGGAGGCAGCAGUGGGGAAUUUUGGACAAUGGGGGAAACCCUGAUCCAGCCAUCCCGCGUGUGCGAUGAAGGCCUUCGGGUUGUAAAGCACUUUUGGCAGGAAAGCGGUACCUGCAGAAUAAGCACCGGCUAACUACGUGCCAGCCGCCGCGGUAAUUC